rnacentral:rRNA from 1 species
CGUGCCAGCAGCCGCGGUAAUACGGGGGGUGCAAGCGUUGUUCGGAUUUAUUGGGCGUAAAGCGCGUGUAGGCGGUUUCUUAAGUCUGAUGUGAAAGCCCUGGGCUCAACCCAGGAAGUGCAUUGGAUACUGGGAGACUUGAAUACGGGGGAGGGUAGUGGAAUUCCUAGUGUAGGAGUGAAAUCCGUAGAUAUUAGGAGGAACACCGGUGGCGAAGGCGGCUACCUGGACCGAUAUUGACGCUGAGACGCGAAAGCGUGGGGAGCAAACAGGAUUAGAUACCCUGGUAGUCCACGCCGUAAACGAUGAGAACUAGGUGUUGCGGGUAUUGACCCCUGCAGUGCCGCAGCUAACGCAUUAAGUUCUCCGCCUGGGAAGUACGGUCGCAAGACUA